rnacentral:rRNA from 1 species
UACGGAGGGGUCUAGCGUUGUUCGGAAUUACUGGGCGUAAAGCGCACGUAGGCGGAUAGUUAAGUUGGGGGUGAAAUCCCGGGGCUCAACCCCGGAACUGCCUUCGAUACUUGCUGUCUGGAGGUCGAGAGAGGUGAGUGGAAUUCCGAGUGUAGAGGUGAAAUUCGUAGAUAUUCGGAGGAACACCAGUGGCGAAGGCGGCUCACUGGCUCGAUACUGACGCUGAGGUGCGAAAGCGUGGGGAGCAGACAGG